rnacentral:rRNA from 1 species
CCUACGGGUGGCAGCAGUGGGGAAUAUUGGGCAAUGGGCGCAAGCCUGACCCAGCAACGCCGCGUGAAGGAAGAAGGCCCUCGGGUUGUAAACUUCUUUUAUCAAGGACGAAACAAAUGACGGUACUUGAUGAAUAAGCCACGGCUGACUACGUGCCAGCAGCCGCGGUAAUACGUAGGUGGCAAGCGUUAUCCGGAUUUACUGGGUGUAAAGGGCAUGUAGGCGGGACUGCAAGUCAGAUGUGAAAACCAUGGGCUCAACCCAUGACCUGCAUUUGAAACUGUAGUUCGUGAGGGUUGGAGAGGCAGGCGGAAUGCCGGGUGUAGCGGUGAAAUGCGUAGAUAGACAGAAGAACACCAGUGGCGAAGGCAGCCUGCUGGACAGUAACUGACACUGAGGCGCGAAAGCGUGGGGAGCAAACAGGAUUAGAUACCCCAGUAGUC